CUACCAAGCCUCAUUCAAUCCCGGGUAAGGAGUACGAAAAACUCUAGGGGAGCUAUGCAACAUAUAUAUUGUUUUGACAGAGACAAAAUAUCCCAUCAAUAAGCAAGGACUAAGAAUCCAGUUAGUUUUAUAUUGCUUUAAUUAAUAUUACUGGAUCUACUUGUCCAAAAAGGAAAGGAGCAAAAUUCUUAUGGUUUUCUGUGCAAAAGCUAUUCCAGAGAUUGGAAGACACUCCUAAAUUAGUUAGCAUUCAUCGACUAAACCAAACAAAAUCAACACGCGGGCUACAUUAAUCCAAGGAGAUAAGAUCACACCAUGUUCUGAUAUCAAAUCAACAACAACUAUUACUACGACGUAACAACAACUGCUACUAUUGUGGUUUAUGUCCUGAUAUCAAAUCAACAGUAACUACUACAACUAAGUAACAACUACUCCAGCUACUACUAUUAAGUAUGAGCCUCUAAAUACAUCAUGUUCCAUUUACACCAUUCUGCACCCAAUAAUUCAUCUUUUAAGACAAAAUUAAGGAUUCUCAAACACUGUAAGUCCUUUCUAUAUACUGCUGAC
rnacentral:lncRNA from 1 species